UUCAGAUACGGAGACAUGGUUCCAGACUCCAUAGCGGGCAAGAUAUUUGGCUCCAUCUGCUCUCUCAGUGGCGUGCUGGUGAUUGCUCUACCUGUGCCUGUCAUAGUCUCCAAC
rfam:Salmo salar isolate Sally breed double haploid chromosome ssa13, whole genome shotgun sequence.